ensembl:lncRNA
AUCAGCCUCUGGGGACUUGGCUUCUCGAGUUUUCCAGCUGCAGGAGAGAUUAAAUGAAGCUUAACAUCUCUGUAGAAGGGCAAAGAAGACAUGACAGGGAAUUGUUUUAAAGACAUCACCACCUUUCUCUAAAAUAUGGAGUUACGGCAUAAGGUGGAAAACAAGUCAGAAAUCAGACAGAGGCCACAGGCUGCUGUGGUCAGUGUGAGGUUCCAGCGAUGAGCCUGAAUCUCCUCAACCACUUUGCUCUCGAAGUCCCUCCAACCGGCAUGUGGAAAUGGUAACUUACAUGACGAUCUUCUAAAUUCCUGGCCUCUUGAUACUGUGGUACCUUCAUGGCCUUCAGAUGUUCAGCAUCACAGCAUCAGAAGCCUAAAACUAACGCAGUGUUGUAAAUCAGCUAUGAAAGUGAAGCUGCUCAGUCAUGUCCAACUCUUUGCGAUCGCAUGGACUGUAGCCCACCAGGCUUCUCUGUCCAUGGGAUUUUCCAGGCAAGAGUACUGGAGUGGGUUACCACUUCCUUCUCCAGGGGAUCUUCCCAACCUAGGGAUCGAACCCAGGUCUCCUGCACUGCAGGCAGACGCU